UACAGAGGUUCCAAGCGUUGUUCGGAUUCACUGGGCGUAAAGGGUGCGUAGGUGGCUGGGUAAGUCUGAUGUGAAAUCUCCGAGCUUAACUCGGAAACUGCAUCGGAUACUAUUCGGCUGGAGGGUUGGAGGGGGGACUGGAAUUCUCGGUGUAGCAGUGAAAUGCGUAGAUAUCGAGAGGAACACCAGUGGCGAAGGCGAAUCCCUGGACAACUCCUGACACUGAGGCACGAAAGCUAGGGGAGCAAACAGG
rnacentral:rRNA from 1 species